UAGGGAAUCUUCGGCAAUGGACGAAAGUCUGACCGAGCAACGCCGCGUGAGUGAAGAAGGUUUUCGGAUCGUAAAACUCUGUUGGUAGAGAAGAACGUUGGUGAGAGUGGAAAGCUCAUCAAGUGACGGUAACUACCCAGAAAGGGACGGCUAACUACGUGCCAGCAGCCGCGGUAAUACGUAGGUCCCGAGCGUUGUCCGGAUUUAUUGGGCGUAAAGCGAGCGCAGGUGGUUUAUUAAGUCUGGUGUAAAAGGCAGUGGCUCAACCAUUGUAUGCAUUGGAAACUGGUAGACUUGAGUGCAGGAGAGGAGAGUGGAAUUCCAUGUGUAGCGGCGAAAUGCGUAGAUAUAUGGAGGAACACCGGUGGCGAAAGCGGCUCUCUGGCCUGUAACUGACACUGAGGCUCGAAAGCGUGGGGAGCAAACAGGAUUAGAUACCCUGGUAGUCCACGCCGUAAACGAUGAGUGCUAGAUGUAGGGAGCUAUAAGUUCUCUGUAUCGCAGCUAACGCAAUAAGCACUCCGCCUGGGGAGUACGACCGCAAGGUUGAAAC
rnacentral:rRNA from 1 species